CCUACGGGUGGCUGCAGUGAGGAAUAUUGGUCAAUGGACGAGAGUCUGAUCCAGCCAAGUAGCGUGAAGGAUGACUGCUCUAUGGGUUGUAAACUUCUUUUAUCUGGGAAUAAAAUGUUCCACGUGUGGGAUUUUGUAUGUCACCUAUGAAUAAGGCUCGGCUAACUCCGAGCCAGCAGCCGCGGUAAUACGGAGGAUCCGAGCGUUAUCCGGAUUUAUUGGGUUUAAAGGGAGCGUAGGUGGAGUGUUAAGUCAGUUGUGAAAGUUUGCGGCGCAACCGUAAAAUUGCAGUGGAAACUGGCAGUCUGGAGUACAGUAGAGGUGAGCGGAAUGCGUGGUGUAGCGGUGAAAUGCUUAGAUAUCACGAAGAACUCCGAUUGCGAAGGCAGCUCACUGGACUGCAACUGACACUGAGGCUCGAAAGUGUGGGUAUCAAACAGGAUUAGAUACCCGAGUAGUC
rnacentral:rRNA from 1 species